CAGCCGCCGCGGGAAUACGGAGGGAGCUAGCGUUGUUCGGAAUUACUGGGCGUAAAGCGCGCGUAGGCGGUUACUCAAGUCAGAGGUGAAAGCCCGGGGCUCAACCCCGGGACUGCCUUUGAAACUAGGUGACUAGAAUCUUGGAGAGGUCAGUGGAAUUCCGAGUGUAGAGGUGAAAUUCGUAGAUAUUCGGAAGAACACCAGUGGCGAAGGCGACUGACUGGACAAGUAUUGACGCUGAGGUGCGAAAGCGUGGGGAGCAAACAGGAUUAGAUACCCCCGUAGUCCCUGUCUCUUAUAC
rnacentral:rRNA from 1 species